AGCCACCCACAGCAAGCUUACUUAAAACGUGAGUGGGCAAAAACAAAUGUUUUACAAAACCAUUUCGUUUAUCAACAUAUCUAACCCCUCGCUGUAAAACAGGUAUAAUUUUUCCCAGAAUAAAGAUAUAAGCAUAUACAUAAAUAUAUAAGUAAAUAUAUCACUUCAAUUCAUGCUUCACAUAAUCAUAAACAUAUGUAUGUCAUGCCAAGAUAUAACAAAGUAAGCAAUUUAGGUAAGAAUAAAUUCAUAGAAAUAUAACAUGUUAGCCGGAACCCCUGUGGUAGUCUGUACGGCUGAAUUCAUAGCUCAAAAGUUAAUCUAGUCGGAGUCACUACAAUGACCUAUACGGCAAUAUACUGCACAAGAGUCGAAACCAAAUGAAAAGGUCUGUACGAAAAUAAUGGGUGUAAUAUAAUCAUGCUCAAUACUACUCUCACAUAAUAGCUGGGCAAUAAAUCGCUAGUCACCUACGAGUCGGAACCAUAGAUAAGGUCUAUACGACAAGACUGUGCACCUAAAUGAGAUCCAAUAUGAGCAUAUGGUGCGGGAGGUGACAUUAUAAACAAGCAUGUGCCAUAUCUCUGGCUAAAUCACAAUCAUCCUAGGUGCAGUUUUAUGAGCUCAACAUUAUUCAAUCACAUAUCACAUCAUCGAUAAUUCACAUAACCAAACAUAACUCACCUGAG
rnacentral:lncRNA from 1 species